GGCGGCGGAGCUCCGCCGGCCACAGCGCUUAGAGAUCCCGCCCCCGUCCGUCCGCUGGCCUUUCGGGGCGUAGGGUGGGCGCGGCUUGACGACCUCGGGUUCGAGCCACCAAUGCCUGAGGCCUGACGAGCCGAGCUGGGAGAAAGACUGCGCCUGGACUUAGCUGAUCUUCUGUUUAAGUAAAACAUUCAGCAUCCCCUGUUGCUGUCUCUGUCACCUGUUGUAACCUGCCCUUUUUGUCUUUCAGCUAGGUCGCUGUCAACCUGAUAUUUCUCUCCACUUUGUCUUUGUCGGGGUAUCUGGAUCCUGUUUUAUAUCUGUCUCCACCUUGCUUCUGUGUCUGUUCACCCUGUCUCUGCCACUCAGCCCUUACUCUAAUUCAGGGCCUGUCAGUCUGGCUUUUUGGCCAUCUGUCUGUUUC
rnacentral:lncRNA from 1 species